rnacentral:ncRNA from 2 species
CGGCAUUGCCACGGGAGUCCGGUACGCCGGGCUGAGAGGCGGGCCGUCAACCCGCGACCGUUCGCACCUGGAUCCGGAUCAUGCCGGCGUAGGGAGGCCGUAUCGCUCUCCC